ACCAGUCUCACCCUUUAGAUGCUUCAACAAUUCAACCCGACCCGUCAGCAUUUACUGUAAUUUCGUAUCUGCUCGAAAUUCUUUAUCCUCCAGUUCAAAUUUUGACCUUCGUUUCCACUAGGACUUUGCUUCUUCCGAAUUUGAACACGAUUGUACUCUUAAAACUGCGGCAAUUAUUGUUUUAGCAGCUCGGUUCAAUAGAGAUGGCAAUUAUUGUUUGAGCUGCGGCGAAGACCGUACCAUCCGCCUAUGGAAAGUUCCGGCAACUGUUUUACUGGAAUCUGUCAACUGGUCUUGUUAUUCGAAAGUUCCGUGGCCAUGAUACCGAGUUAAAUUUAAUGAGUAUGCAUCUGUCGUUGUAUCAGCAGGCUAUGAUCGUUCAUUGCGGGCAUGUGAUAGCAGACCACAUAGCACUGGGCCUAUUCAGAUUAUUGCACAGGGUAAUGUCUGUUUGUAUGACAAAAACUGAAGUUAUUGUUGGAAGUGUUGAUGGAACUCUGCACACAUUUGACAGCCGUAUUGGUAGAGAAUUACCUGAUAACUUGGGGCAACCUGUCACCUGUAUCUCAAUGACAAAUGAUGGUAACUGCAUAUAGGCCAGAUGCUUAGAUUCUACCUUAUGUCUCCUGUACAGGUAUGUUCGUUCAGUUGCUUAAGGACUUUCUGAAUACUUAUCUGGAAUUGCCUGUCAUUUUUACAAGAAUAUAAAAGCCAUAUUUGCAAGUCUUUCAAACAAAUUAUUGUCUUACCAACUCUGAUGCUCAUGUAACUGGUGGAUCUGAAGAUGGGUAUAUAUUCUUCUGGGAUCUGGUAGAUGCUUCUGUCGUAUCAAUAUUCCAAGCUCAUUCUUUAGUGGUAAAUCUUUCUUCCCUUUUAAUUCUUGUAAUUUGGUAUCAAUAAGUCUGGAGCCAUGCCCCCUCAGUCUGAGUUUCUGCUAGGUCUGUAAUGCAUAAUUUAAGGAAAGAAGUCGGAUACCCCUUAUGUCAAAUUAUAAAAUACAUUUUUAUGGUUUAAGAGAUUUCCAGACAUUGCCUGUGCAUUCUUUUCUCAAGAUUCUAAGUUCAUUAGAAUUUAAGUGUCAGGCUAUUAAUGAAUAACACUUCUUAGGCGGAAUCUUUUGUGAACUUCUGUCUGAUAUCUUGUUAAACCUAAAUUUGGAGUUUCCUAGUAGAAUUCAGUGAAAAAGGGAACUUUAUAGGUUUCUCAAAUAAAUGGUAAAAAUAUAAAGCCGUUCCAAUUACACUACAGGUUACAUGUACAAUAAUUAAACAUUGAAGCAAUGAGGCAUCAAAGUGCCUAUAGUUUAGAGGUAAGAAUUCCACAUUGUGGCUGUGGAGACCUGGGCUUGAAUCCCAGCAGCCACAUUUGUGUGUUCCGACCUUAGCUCAGUUGGUAGAGCGGAGGAUUGUAGUGGGCUGGAACCUUUAGCCAUCCUUAGGUCACUGGUUCGAAUCUGGCAUUUCCCUUUUUCAUUUGAUACAAAUUCAUCAUUAAUUAACAAUUAUACCAUUUAAUUAUUGUAUCAAAAACCAAAAUGCAUUUUAGAAGGAUUUUAUAUGGAGUAGACAAUUUUAUUAUCAAUUAUUGUUUAGACUAUGGAGUAUACCAUAUUUUUUUUUUCAAUAGAUUUUCAUCUACAACGUGAGACUUCCAACUAGGGAUGACAAUGGGGAGGGGAGGGGCGGGGACGGGAUAUCAAUUCCCGUAUCCGUCCCGUCCCAUCCUGUCCCCGUCCCCGUUAUGGGGAUAACAAAGAAACCCCGUCUCCUCCCCAUCUCUAUCUCGUCCUCGUGGAGAAAAAUCUCCUCCCUAUCCCCGACCCGUCCCCGCGGGGAAAAAUCCCCUCCCCAUACCCGCAAAUAUAAAUUUUAAUUCCUUUAUGUUGCAUACCUGUUCAGGCCAAGGUUUCUCCUGCUCCAGUUUCAAUUCCUCUUGGCAAAAUAAAUGGAAGAAAUGGAACCUGCAAUAUUCAUGGCCUCAGCUGGCAGCAUUCAUUCUGUAUAAUUUGUACUCAAUCAAAUAAAAUAGAUUCAAUCCAGUCAAUAGAAAUUGCAAUCCAUCCCAUUCAUUCAUUCAUCAAGGCAAAUGUUUACACCAAAUGCUUCACAACUAAACUCAGAGCAAUGAGACAGAGCAAUAAAACUAAAAGGAAAUGAACUUGAACAAAGUAAAUAGACACUGCUAAUUCUGGAAUUUGAGAGCCAGACCCCUCUUUCUUCUUAAACAAACUUCAGUACAUCAUUCUUAUAAAAACCAAGCUGCCUUCUCCUUUUUCUGCUGCCCUAUAAAAGCAUGAGUUUUCCUUAACCGAAUUCUGCCUUCUGCCCACUCAUAGGCUGCCAAGUGGUCUCAACUGAAUGGCCAGGCUCAUUCUGUUCCAGAUCAGCUUCUGUAAUUCCCAGAUUACCCUCCAUCAUGUUAAUCCUUGAUUCUUCAGUUGAGAGUUUCAUCCUUUCUUCUGAAUCUGGGUCUGUUUCCUCUAUUCUCUUUUUGGGCCUGCGGAAAUAAACUUUGGUAAUUAGGCCUCUAUCAAUACCCCCCCUACGGAGACGCACCUUGUCCUUAAGGUGAAAUUCGAGAAAGCGAUCCCGUAGGGCGAUGUAAUCCUCCCAAGAGUUCUCACAGUCCGAAAUAGAGUGCCAUUUGAUGAGGACUUGUAGGUGACCAGUUUUUGAAUAACGAGUAUCCAAUAAAGCUUCCGACUGUAAUUGCAAUUCCAAGUCCCCCGAAAGGCAGCCAGACAGAGGUUGUGGCUGUAUAGCAACCCCUAGGACCCUUUUUAACUGUGACACAUGGAAAACCGGAUGGAUUUUACUCGUGGAAGGUAAAGCAAGACGGUAGGCAACCGAACCAAUCUUUUCAAUGAUGACAUAAGGACCAUAAAAACGAAGGCUCAAUUUUUCAUUGAGCUUCUUAGCAAGAGUCUUGAAACGAUAAGGCUGAAUUUUAAGGAAUACUUGCUCACCAACUUCAAAGUGGAGCUCACGACGUUUCAAAUCGGCUUGACGUUUCAUCCUAUCUUGGGCUUUAUGGAGCUGCUGUUUCAACUCAAGCAGAAUGGCAUCUCUUUGCUAUAGAAAAGCGCCAACCUCAUCAAUUUUGGAGGCUUCGGAACCCCACCGAAAGAGCGUCGGGGGGUCUCUCCCAUAUAAAGCCUUAAAAGGAGUCAUUCCAAGAGAACUAUGGAAGGUGGUAUUAUACCAAUACUCCGCCCAAGUGAUCCAUUUAGCCCAAUCCUUUGGUUGUUGAGAACAAAAGUAUCGAAGAUAUGUUUCAAGGCCACGGUUGACAAUUUCAGUUUGACCGUCAAAUUGUGGAUGAUAUGCACUGCUAAACUUGAGGUUAGUACCCACGGAACGAAAGAGCUCCCCCCAGAAUUGACUCAUAAAUAGGUGAUCGCGAUCCGACACGAUCGAACGAGGGUAACCAUGAAGCCUAACUAUCUCUUUACCAAAUAAGGCAGCCACCUCUUUGGCCAUAUAAGGGUGGGAAAGCACUAGGAAAUGGCUAUAUUUGGUCAAUCGGUCCACUACCACCAAAAUGGUAUCACCCUUUUUUGUUCUUGGAAGACCCCCAAUGAAGUCCAUAGAUAUGUCCUCCCAAACUUUAUCAGGGAUUGGAAGAGGUUGUAAGAGGCCUGCAGGGCUCAUGGCUUGAUACUUAUUCCUUUGGCAAGUUUCAUAGUGGGCUACAAAGUCUCUAAUACAUUUUUUCAUCCCAAUCCAAUAAAAAACUGCUGCUAUUUUCUUGUAAGUACGGAAAAACCCUGAAUGGCCGCCGAAAGGUGAAGAAUGAAAUUCACGAAGCAAGGCUGGAAGAAAGGUAGAAGAUGAAAGCAACACUAACCUAUUUUUAUAAAAGAGAGUCUCAUUUCUCAAGAAGAAUUUGGUGUGGCUGGAAGGGUCUUUCAGUAAAUCUUGGAUGAUUCGUUUAUAUUGGUCGUUAGAGCGGACUUUCUGAUCAAGCACUGCACCCUCCAUCCAGUGGCCGGCUGAGAUAGAAGCUAGAGUAAGAGAUGCUGCAGGAAGUCUGGAUAGAGCAUCAGCCACCUUAUUCUCCAGGCCAGGUCUGUAUUAAAUCUCAAAGUCAAAGCCCAAAAGUUUCAUUACCCAGCGUUGUUGAUCUCCAUUAAUAAUAGUUUGUUCCAUCAAGUGCUUCAAACUUUUCUGAUCAGUUCAAACAAUAAAAUGCCGUCCCAACAAAUAAUGACGCCACUUUUGCAAGGCCAUCACAAUUGCCAUCAACUCUCGUUCAUAGACGGACUUCACUUGAUUUCUAGGGGAGAGGGCCUGACUCAUAAAGGAAAUGGGUCUGCCCUUCUGCAUAAGGACAGCUCCAAUGCCUGUGGAAGAAGCGUCCAUCUCGACCAGAAAAAACUGAUUAAAAUCUGGCAUGGCAAGGACUGGAACAGUAGUCAUUGCAGUUUUCAGUCUCUCAAAUGCAGCAGUGGAUUUAUCACCCCAAUGGAAAGAAUUCUUUUUCAAAAGUUGUGUCAAUGGAGCUGCAAUUUGUCCAUAAUGGCGCACGAAGCGGCGAUAAUACCCUGUAAGGCCCAAGAAUCCCCGUAGCUGACUAAUGUCUCGUGGUUGCGGUCAAUCAAGCAUACAAUGAAUUUUUUGGGGAUCGACAGCCACUCCGUCAGCUGAAAUAAUGUGACCCAAAUAUUCCAAGCGAGAGACCCCAAAAGAACAUUUUUUCUGGUUUAAAAGAAACUGAUAAUCUGAAAGCAACUGGAGGGCUAAACUCAAAUGAUCCAAGUGAGCAGUUAAAUUUCUACUGUAAAUUAAAAUAUCAUCAAAGAAAACAAGGAUGAACUGCCGUAAAUGGGCCCUAAAGACUUCAUUCAUUAGGGCCUGAAAUGUGGCAGGGGCAUUGGACAGCCCAAAGGGCAUUACUAGAAAUUGAUAAUGGCCGUUAUGAGUCCGAAAGGCUGUUUUCUCAACAUCCGAAUCAAUAAUUCUGAUUUGGUGGUAUCCAGAUUUCAGGUCAAGUUUAGUAAAGAUGGUAGCACCAGAUAACUCAUCCAACAACUCAUCAAUAACAAGGAUAGGAAACUUAUCUGAAACUGUAAUUUUGUUGAGGGUGCGAUAGUCAACGCAGAAACGUCAUCCACCGUCUUUCUUUUGGACCAGAAGAACAGGACUGGAAAACGGGCUGUGGCUUGGUUGGAUAAUUCCAGCGUGAAGCAUUUCCCUGAUUUGGCGGUCAAUUUCAUUCUUCUGGUGGUGAGGAUAGCGAUACGGCCUAACAUUCGACGGUGCGACUCCAUCAAACAAACGAAUGGCAUGAUCAUGUGUCCGGCGUGGCGAUAACCCGAUGGGCUUCUCAAAUAAAUGCUGAAAAUUUACCAAAAUUCGCUGAACUGCUUCUAGAGACUCUUCUGAAAUAGUUUAUGAGGCAGCCAACUGAAUCCAAUAGCAAUGGGUACCCAUUUUAAGAGAUUUCGAAACUGCCUUAUGAGAAGUUUCUUGGGUGACUAAUGAAGGAUCCCCUUGAAGUGUAAUUUUCCGCCCUUUCCAGUGAAAAAUCAUAGUGAGGUUCUACCAAUUAUUUUUAAUAACGCCCAAGGUUGUCAGUCAAUCCACGCCAAGAAUGACAUCAACGUUGCCCAAUGGAAAGAAAAAGUAUUCAUGAAUAAAUUGCAUCUCUGGUAACAGUAGCUCAACCCUUGGACACUUCUCUCCGUCGGAGACCGUACUGCCAUUUUCGAUGACCACCUGGAAGGUUGCUAGUGAGCAUGGAAACUGUAAUUGGUUGACCAAUUGUUGAGAAAUGAAGUUGUGGGAGGCACCAGAGUCCACCAGAAUGACGACAAAGGAAUUGUGAAUCUUGCCCAAAAACUUCAGUGUUUUGGGGGUACUGAUACCAGCAACAGAGUGACAGGAAAGCUCCAUUUUCUCACCGUGUCUGAGCUUGAGUUGGUUGUCUUCUUUCGGAAUUUUCGUUGUGUCCUGUUCAUCUUCAUCGUAGAGCAUCAAACGGAGUUGUUUGAAGGGGCACUGAUGGUUGGGUUCGAAUUUGCCUGCACACUUGAAGCACAAGCCUUGAGCUAUGCGGGUCUGGAUUUCAGAUUGAGAGAGUUAGGGGUACUCUGGUCUGGAAGCUAGGUUAGGGCGUCGGUUGAAGGAGUGGAGCUUAGUAGAAGAAGAAAGCGGUGGCGGAUUUGGAGUGGUCGAGUGGCAGCGUUCAUCAACCAGUGGAGGAAGUGGUGGAGCGCUGGAAGGAAACACUGUCACCGGAGAGGAAUUUAGGGCUGAAAUAUUAGAGGAGUGUGAAUGCGAAAAAGACGAGCGUGAGGGUGGGAAAUUAUGGUCGGAGUCGGGUCGCUGGAAUGGGUAUGGGUCAGGCUGAUGGGCGGGCUUAUGGGUUGAGUUGGAAUGGAUGGGUUGUGUUGGAGCAGUUUGGGUGGAUGAAUGAUAUUGUGGGCUGGUAAGGCUCAAAGGUGAUGCGGUGGGAAAAGAGUUUAGGUUGGUGUGGUUAGUAGUUGGGCUGGUGAGGGAAUGUUGCGUUUGGCUGUAUAAUGGGCUUGGGUUGGGUUAGGUUGGGUGUUGGGGGUGGAUACAGAGUGAUUGGGGUGUGUAUUUGGAUAUGGGCUUCCGCCUCUUACAAGGGCUUGGGCUGCCCCAGUUGGAUCCGAGUUCCAUUUCGACCUGUGCACAACCCAAUCUCGUUCUUCUAUAUCUGCCGCCAGCUGCAUCAAGAUGAAAAGGUCCACCGGUGCCUGGAGACGUAGCUCGGCCUGUAUUCGGUGUUUCAGACAGGCGGUGAAAGCUCUUAGCACCCACUCUGCUGGUGCCGAUAGAAGCAUUGCCACCAGUUGCUUGAAACGAGCCCUAUACUCAGCCACCGUUCCCGUUUGCCUGUGUAAUAUGAUUUGUUCAUGCGGCGUCCGGUGUUGGGACGAACCAAACCGAAGGAGUAGCUCCUCCUUCAACUCUCUCCACUCCCGGAAUGGCCGCCAAAGCUCCCUAAACUGAAACCAACUCAACGCCUCUCCUUCCAAGCAAAAUAUCACUGCCGCCAAAUGUUCUCGUUUGUCCAUGUCGUUCAUUUUGAAAUAGCACUCGACCUUGGCUGCCCACCCCCAUGAGUCCACUCCACUGAACAGAGGUAUUUCCAAUUUACGGUGAUACUGGUCACGACGAUUCGUCGUCUCGGUAACAGCAUAACAUGGUGGUCGCUAAUUUCUGGACGAUUCUCCAAACACUACACCGUUGUUGUGAUGGUAUGGAGGUUGUUGUGGUGGGGGUAUCGGCUGUUGAAACCCCAGGUUCCCUCCAUUUGGUAUCCUCUCCGGGGAAUACGGCGAUGGUUCUUGGAUGACGGUGGGUGAUAUUGUCACUGUUUCACUCUCCUUACCCUUCAUAUCUUUAAGCAAUAACUGUCUUAUCUCAUGUAAGUUUUCGUCCAGUUUAUCGAAUCGGGAAGCUAUGUGUUGUUCAGCUUUCAUGAAUUUGUCAUACGUGAUGGCUACUUUCUCCAUUAGGUUCUUAAGGUUUUCUUCUAAAUCUUUCACUCUCCCUUCCAUUCUGGUUUUUACCAUAACCCAGCACCAACGGCUCUGAUACCAAGUUUGUUGCGCCCCUGUUCAAGCCAAGGUUUCUCCUGCUCCAGUUUCAAUUCCUCUUAGCAAAAUAAAUGGAAGAAAUGGAACCUGCAAUAUUCAUGGCCUCAGCAGGCAGCAUUCAUUCUGUAUAAUUUGUACUCAAUCAAAUAAAAUAGAUUCAAUCCAG